rnacentral:rRNA from 1 species
GAGUUUGAUCCUGGCUCAGGACGAACGGCUGGCGGCGUGCUUAACACAUGCAAGUCGAACGAUGAACCACUUCGGUGGGGAUUAGUGGCGAACGGGUGAGUAACACGUGGGCAAUCUGCCCUGCACUCUGGGACAAGCCCUGGAAACGGGGUCUAAUACCGGAUACUGACCCGCCUGGGCAUCCAGGCGGUUCGAAAGCUCCGGCGGUGCAGGAUGAGCCCGCGGCCUAUCAGCUUGUUGGUGAGGUAACGGCUCACCAAGGCGACGACGGGUAGCCGGCCUGAGAGGGCGACCGGCCACACUGGGACUGAGACACGGCCCAGACUCCUACGGGAGGCAGCAGUGGGGAAUAUUGCACAAUGGGCGCAAGCCUGAUGCAGCGACGCCGCGUGAGGGAUGACGGCCUUCGGGUUGUAAACCUCUUUCAGCAGGGAAGAAGCGCAAGUGACGGUACCUGCAGAAGAAGCGCCGGCUAACUACGUGCCAGCAGCCGCGGUAAUACGUAGGGCGCGAGCGUUGUCCGGAAUUAUUGGGCGUAAAGAGCUCGUAGGCGGCUUGUCGCGUCGGUUGUGAAAGCCCGGGGCUUAACCCCGGGUCUGCAGUCGAUACGGGCAGGCUAGAGUUCGGUAGGGGAGAUCGGAAUUCCUGGUGUAGCGGUGAAAUGCGCGAGAUAUCAGGAGGAACACCGGUGGCGAAGGCGGAUCUCUGGGCCGAUACUGACGCUGAGGAGCGAAAGCGUGGGGAGCGAACAGGAUUAGAUACCCUGGUAGUCCACGCCGUAAACGGUGGGCACUAGGUGUGGGCGACAUUCCACGUCGUCCGUGCCGCAGCUAACGCAUAAGUGC